AAUAUUUCGGCAUAUAAAAAUGAUGGCAGUAAGCAAGAUGUCAAAGACUUUGAACCAAGGUCCAACAUUUCAGCUUAUGGAGACAAUGACAUUGAUGUAAAAGAAAAGAAUGGAGCCAUUAAAGAUUUUGAACCUAGACCUAAUAUUUCAGCUUAUGGAGAAAAUGUCAUUGAUGCUGAUGAAAAGAAGAAACCAGUCAAAGAUUUUGAACCAAGACCCAAUAUUUCAGCUUAUGGAGACAAUGACAUUGAUGUUAAGGAAAAUAAGGGAGCCACCAACGAUUUUGAGCCAAGACCCAACAUUUCAGCUUAUGGAGACAAUGUCAUUGAUGAUAAUAAAAUGAAGAAACCAGUUGAAUAUUUCCAACCAAGACCAAACAUUUCAGCUUAUGGAGAAAAUGACAUUGAUGUUAAAAAAAGUAAAGAUUUUGAACCAAGACCCAACAUUUCAGCUUUUGGAGACAAUGACAUUGAUGUUAAUGAAAAGAAGGGAGAUACUAAAGAUUUCGAACCAAGACCAAAUAUUUCAGCUUAUGGAGACAAUGCCAUUGAUGAUGAUGAAAUGAAGAAACCAAUUAAAGAUUUUAAACCAAAACCAAACAUUUCGGCUUAUGGAGACAAUGUCAUUGAUGCUGAUGAAAUGAAGAAACCAGUCGAAGGUUUUGAACCAAGACCAAACAUUUCAACUUAUGGAGACAAUGUCAUUGAUGUUGAUGAAAUGAAGAAACAACAAGUCAAAGAUUUUGAACCAAGAACCAACAUUUCAGCUUAUGGAGACAAUGACAUUGAUGUUAAAGAAAAGAAGGGAGUCACCAACGAUUUUGAGCCAAGAC
rnacentral:lncRNA from 1 species